rnacentral:rRNA from 1 species
CCCUCACCCCUCUUCCUUAACAGGAGGCGCCUGUCGUGCUUGCUCAAGCCGGCAGCAGGGGUGGAUCUGGCUCUCCCAAUUGGUUCACUCCGAUUGGGUUGGCUGAAGCACAGAGGAUUAAACUGGGACCCAAUUCGGGCUCAACUGGAUAGGUAGCAACACCCUCGGGUGCCUACACGAAGUUGUGUCUGAGGACCUGGUUAGGAUCCAAGCAGGAAACAUGCCUCUGGCAUGUACUC